GGGGGAUAUUGGUCAAUGGGGGGAACCCUGAACCAGCGAUGCCGCGUGAGGGAAGAAGGUCUUCGGAUUGUAAACCUUUGUCUUCAGGGACGAAACGAUGACGGUACCUGAGGAGGAAGCUCCGGCUAACUACGUGCCAGCAGCCGCGGUAAUACGUAGGGAGCGAGCGUUGUCCGGAAUUACUGGGUGUAAAGGGAGCGUAGGCGGGACGGCAAGUUGAAUGUGAAAUGCAUGGGCUUAACCCAUGAGCUGCGUUCAAAACUGUCGUUCUUGAGUGAAGUAGAGGCAGGCGGAAUUCCUAGUGUAGCGGUGAAAUGCGUAGAUAUUAGGAGGAACACCAGUGGCGAAGGCGGCCUGCUGGGCUUUAACUGACGCUGAGGCUCGAAAGCAUGGGGAGCAAACA
rnacentral:rRNA from 1 species